CACAUCGCUUACAUUCAACAGUGUAUACAGAGAUGACACUGCUAAAUAGUUCCAUACAGAUGAAUGGAAAACUGACUCAGGUGUAAGAAGGGAGAGAGGAAGAAACCUCAGACAGACUCCUGGAGCCUUCUCUAGUGUGAAGCUUCACAUAAGGCUGUGGCAGGUGGUUGUUUCUAGGUCAGCAGCUUCUUGUGCUCCGGAGAGGACUGCCAAUCAGCACCAGCAGGCCCAGCUCUCAGUCGCCCCGGUAUGGAACAAUCCUGCCCAUCUCUGUCUUUUCCGUGCUCUAGGAAAAUCAUUCUUUCCAUCCCACCCCAUUUCCAUUCCUCGUUGGAGGGAAGAUGUGCUAUUUUCUGCUUGCUCCUCCAGAUCUACUUUUCUCCUUUCUGCAGCUUUUCCUUUUCCCAAGGACACUGACCGAA
rnacentral:lncRNA from 1 species